GGGUUGUGAGGUUAAGCGACUAAGCGUACACGGUGGAUGCCCUGGCAGUCAGAGGCGAUGAAGGACGUGCUAAUCUGCGAUAAGCGUCGGUAAGGUGAUAUGAACCGUUAUAACCGGCGAUUUCCGAAUGGGGAAACCCAGUGUGAUUCGUCACACUAUCAUUAACUGAAUCCAUAGGUUAAUGAGGCGAACCGGGGGAACUGAAACAUCUAAGUACCCCGAGGAAAAGAAAUCAACCGAGAUUCCCCCAGUAGCGGCGAGCGAACGGGGAGCAGCCCAGAGCCUGAAUCAGUGUGUGUGUUAGUGGAAGCGUCUGGAAAGGCGUGCGAUACAGGGUGACAGCCCCGUACACAAAAAUGCACAUAUUGUGAGCUCGAUGAGUAGGGCGGGACACGUGGUAUCCUGUCUGAAUAUGGGGGGACCAUCCUCCAAGGCUAAAUACUCCUGACUGACCGAUAGUGAACCAGUACCGUGAGGGAAAGGCGAAAAGAACCCCGGCGAGGGGAGUGAAAAAGAACCUGAAACCGUGUACGUACAAGCAGUGGGAGCACAGAGCAAUCUGUGUGACUGCGUACCUUUUGUAUAAUGGGUCAGCGACUUAUAUUCUGUAGCAAGGUUAACCGAAUAGGGGAGCCGAAGGGAAACCGAGUCUUAACUGGGCGUUAAGUUGCAGGGUAUAGACCCGAAACCCGGUGAUCUAGCCAUGGGCAGGUUGAAGGUUGGGUAACACUAACUGGAGGACCGAACCGACUAAUGUUGAAAAAUUAGCGGAUGACUUGUGGCUGGGGGUGAAAGGCCAAUCAAACCGGGAGAUAGCUGGUUCUCCCCGAAAGCUAUUUAGGUAGCGCCUCGUGAAUUCAUCUCCGGGGGUAGAGCACUGUUUCGGCAAGGGGGUCAUCCCGACUUACCAACCCGAUGCAAACUGCGAAUACCGGAGAAUGUUAUCACGGGAGACACACGGCGGGUGCUAACGUCCGUCGUGAAGAGGGAAACAACCCAGACCGCCAGCUAAGGUCCCAAAGUCAUGGUUAAGUGGGAAACGAUGUGGGAAGGCCCAGACAGCCAGGAUGUUGGCUUAGAAGCAGCCAUCAUUUAAAGAAAGCGUAAUAGCUCACUGGUCGAGUCGGCCUGCGCGGAAGAUGUAACGGGGCUAAACCAUGCACCGAAGCUGCGGCAGCGACGCUUAUGCGUUGUUGGGUAGGGGAGCGUUCUGUAAGCCUGCGAAGGUGUGCUGUGAGGCAUGCUGGAGGUAUCAGAAGUGCGAAUGCUGACAUAAGUAACGAUAAAGCGGGUGAAAAGCCCGCUCGCCGGAAGACCAAGGGUUCCUGUCCAACGUUAAUCGGGGCAGGGUGAGUCGACCCCUAAGGCGAGGCCGAAAGGCGUAGUCGAUGGGAAACAGGUUAAUAUUCCUGUACUUGGUGUUACUGCGAAGGGGGGACGGAGAAGGCUAUGUUGGCCGGGCGACGGUUGUCCCGGUUUAAGCGUGUAGGCUGGUUUUCCAGGCAAAUCCGGAAAAUCAAGGCUGAGGCGUGAUGACGAGGCACUACGGUGCUGAAGCAACAAAUGCCCUGCUUCCAGGAAAAGCCUCUAAGCAUCAGGUAACAUCAAAUCGUACCCCAAACCGACACAGGUGGUCAGGUAGAGAAUACCAAGGCGCUUGAGAGAACUCGGGUGAAGGAACUAGGCAAAAUGGUGCCGUAACUUCGGGAGAAGGCACGCUGAUAUGUAGGUGAAGUCCCUCGCGGAUGGAGCUGAAAUCAGUCGAAGAUACCAGCUGGCUGCAACUGUUUAUUAAAAACACAGCACUGUGCAAACACGAAAGUGGACGUAUACGGUGUGACGCCUGCCCGGUGCCGGAAGGUUAAUUGAUGGGGUUAGCGCAAGCGAAGCUCUUGAUCGAAGCCCCGGUAAACGGCGGCCGUAACUAUAACGGUCCUAAGGUAGCGAAAUUCCUUGUCGGGUAAGUUCCGACCUGCACGAAUGGCGUAAUGAUGGCCAGGCUGUCUCCACCCGAGACUCAGUGAAAUUGAACUCGCUGUGAAGAUGCAGUGUACCCGCGGCAAGACGGAAAGACCCCGUGAACCUUUACUAUAGCUUGACACUGAACAUUGAGCCUUGAUGUGUAGGAUAGGUGGGAGGCUUUGAAGUGUGGACGCCAGUCUGCAUGGAGCCGACCUUGAAAUACCACCCUUUAAUGUUUGAUGUUCUAACGUUGACCCGUAAUCCGGGUUGCGGACAGUGUCUGGUGGGUAGUUUGACUGGGGCGGUCUCCUCCUAAAGAGUAACGGAGGAGCACGAAGGUUGGCUAAUCCUGGUCGGACAUCAGGAGGUUAGUGCAAUGGCAUAAGCCAGCUUGACUGCGAGCGUGACGGCGCGAGCAGGUGCGAAAGCAGGUCAUAGUGAUCCGGUGGUUCUGAAUGGAAGGGCCAUCGCUCAACGGAUAAAAGGUACUCCGGGGAUAACAGGCUGAUACCGCCCAAGAGUUCAUAUCGACGGCGGUGUUUGGCACCUCGAUGUCGGCUCAUCACAUCCUGGGGCUGAAGUAGGUCCCAAGGGUAUGGCUGUUCGCCAUUUAAAGUGGUACGCGAGCUGGGUUUAGAACGUCGUGAGACAGUUCGGUCCCUAUCUGCCGUGGGCGCUGGAGAACUGAGGGGGGCUGCUCCUAGUACGAGAGGACCGGAGUGGACGCAUCACUGGUGUUCGGGUUGUCAUGCCAAUGGCACUGCCCGGUAGCUAAAUGCGGAAGAGAUAAGUGCUGAAAGCAUCUAAGCACGAAACUUGCCCCGAGAUGAGUUCUCCCUGACUCCUUGAGAGUCCUGAAGGAACGUUGAAGACGACGACGUUGAUAGGCCGGGUGUGUAAGCGCAGCGAUGCGUUGAGCUAACCGGUACUAAUGAACCGUGAGGCUUAACCUUACAACGCCGAAGGUGUUU
rnacentral:rRNA from 1 species